rnacentral:tRNA from 1 species
GUCCUCGUAGCUCAGUGGAUAGAGCGUCCGGUUGCGGUCCGGGAGGCCGCAGGUUCGACUCCUGCCGGGGACGCCA